GGCUCAGAUUGAACGCUGGCGGCAUGCCUUACACAUGCAAGUCGAACGGUAACAGGUCUUCGGAUGCUGACGAGUGGCGAACGGGUGAGUAAUACAUCGGAACGUGCCUAGUAGUGGGGGAUAACUACUCGAAAGAGUAGCUAAUACCGCAUGAGAUCUACGGAUGAAAGCAGGGGAUCGCAAGACCUUGUGCUACUAGAGCGGCUGAUGGCAGAUUAGGUAGUUGGUGGGAUAAAAGCUUACCAAGCCGACGAUCUGUAGCUGGUCUGAGAGGACGAUCAGCCACACUGGGACUGUGACACGGCCCAGACUCCUACGGGAGGCAGCAGUGGGGAAUUUUGGACAAUGGGCGAAAGCCUGAUCCAGCAAUGCCGCGUGCAGGAUGAAGGCCUUCGGGUUGUAAACUGCUUUUGUACGGAACGAAAAGCUUUGGGUUAAUACCCUGGAGUCAUGACGGUACCGUAAGAAUAAGCACCGGCUAACUACGUGCCAGCAGCAGC
rnacentral:rRNA from 1 species